rnacentral:rRNA from 1 species
GAUAAACGCUGGCGGCGUGCAUAACACAUGCCAGUCGAACGAUGAAACUUAGAUGAUUUCUUCGGAAUGAACUUAAGUGGAUUAGUGGCGAACGGGUGAGUAACACGUGAGUAACCUGCCUUACACAAGGGGAUAGCCUCUGGAAACGGAGAAUAAUACCCUAUAAAGUCUAAUCAGCUCCUGCUGGAAAGACCAAAGAUUUAUCGGUGUAAGAUGGACUUGCGUCUGAUUAGCUAGUUGGUGAGAUAAAAGCUCACCAAGGCGACGAUCAGUAGCCGGCUUGAGAGAGUGUACGGCCACAUUGGGACGGAGACACGGCCCAAACUCCUACGGGAGGCAGCAGUGGGGAAUUUUGCACAAUGGGGGAAACCCUGAUGCAGCGACGCCGCGUGAUUUAGAAGGCCUUCGGGUUGUAAAAAUCUUUUUUACGGGAUGAAAAUGACAGUACCGUAAGAAUAAGGGCCGGCUAAAUACGUG